rnacentral:rRNA from 1 species
AGUGAACGCUGGCGGCGUGCCUAAUACAUGCAAGUCGAACGAACAAGUAAGAGCUUGCUCUUAUGAGUUAGUGGCGCACGGGUGAGUAAUAUAUAGCUAAUCUGCCCUACACUAGAGGACAACAGUUGGAAACGGCUGCUAAUACUCUAUACUCCUAUCUUACAUAAGUUAGAUAGGGAAAGUUUUUCGGUGUAGGAUGAGGCUAUAUUGUAUCAGCUAGUUGGUGAGGUAAUGGCUCACCAAGGCUAUGACGCAUAACUGGUCUGAGAGGAUGAUCAGUCACACUGGAACUGAGACACGGUCCAGACUCCUACGGGAGGCAGCAGUAGGGAAUAUUGCUCAAUGGGGGAAACCCUGAAGCAGCAACGCCGCGUGGAGGAUGACACUUUUCGGAGCGUAAACUCCUUUUGUUAGGGAAGAAUAAUGACG